rnacentral:lncRNA from 1 species
UCUGGAAGAUGGGUUGCAGUGGAUUAAUUAACUUGUUUCAGCAACAAUUUGAUAGUGGCUCGUAGACCACGCUCAACAGAAAAUCAAAGAAACUUGAUAGAUUCCACCAAUGAUUGAUCGAGGAUUAAGAGUGAGAUGCCCAGAAGGAAUAGGGGAGAGCCCUUUAUAGGCCAAGUCUUGGGCUUUGGCAAGCCCUAUACUUCCUAAUGCCUGACAAAAUUAGGGAAGAAGACAAACUCCUUCUAAAAGUCCACUUCCUUCGUCUCAUGUACAAGCCACAUGAGAUGGAGUUUUAUGGUCUCGCACUAAGAUUCCUGUGUGUUAAGAUUCAUAGUGGCUCAUGGAUCGGUCAAUAGACCCGUCCCUUACAAUUGUGGAAUAUUAUCUUGUUAUAACAUCAGUAUAACAAUCAAUAUUUCAAUAUUUAUGUUAAUAAACCAAAUAUAAAAAUUACUUUUUGAGAUACAUGGUGAUAGUUAUAAUCAUUAUAUUGGUGAUCAAUAAUACUUUUGAUGGGCA